rnacentral:rRNA from 1 species
GUGAGGAAUAUUGCGCAAUGGAGGCAACUCUGACGCAGCCAUGCCGCGUGCAGGAAGAAGGCGCUACGCGUUGUAAACUGCUUUUAACCGGGAAGAAACCCCAGGACGUGUCCUGGGUUGACGGUACCGGAGGAAUAAGCACCGGCUAACUUCGUGCCAGCAGCCGCGGUAAUACGAAGGGUGCAAGCGUUAUCCGGAUUCAUUGGGUUUAAAGGGUGCGUAGGCGGAGCGUUAAGUCAGUGGUGAAAUCCUGCAGCUUAACUGUAGACUUGCCAUUGAUACUGGCGCUCUUGAGUGCGCUUGAAGUGGGCGGAAUGUGCCGUGUAGCGGUGAAAUGCUUAGAUAUGGCACAGAACACCAAUUGCGAAGGCAGCUCACUAAGGCGAUACUGACGCUGAGGCACGAAAACGUGGGGAUCGAACAGGAUUAGAUACCCUGGUAGUCC